rnacentral:tRNA from 1 species
GUAAGUAUAGUUUAAGCACAAAAUAUUAGAUUGUGAUUCUAAUGAUAGGGGUUAAAAUCCCCUUACUCACC